AAGAUUUGGUACAUAUUUAUGAAUAUAUAACUGCAAACAAUAAUUUUGUAGACAUUAUUUUUUGAAGAAAAAAACUAUACAUUACUUUGAAUUUGAGAAAUAUGCAUGAAAUUUUUCAACGUGUGACAUGUAAUUUUAAAUAAAGUACCAACAAGUGAAAAAAGAAAGUAGAAGAAAGAAUUAAGAUAAUAAAUGAAGAUCUUACAACAUCCACCCAUCCACUUCUCCUUGUUUUAUGUUGCUCGAUCCAUCUUAAUUUGUAUUCAGGACUAAGACCUCUCUUUCUUCCCUAUAAGAUAAAGAAAAUGUAUAGAUAUAUAAGAUAUGAGAACAUGAAAUUAAUUGUGCCAAUAUAUAUGAUCCAUAUGAGAAUAGAUUAUUAAUUGUCUACUUAACUGUCUGUUAUCAAGUGGUUUCAACUCUCUUCUGUUCGUAUGGAUUAUUAAAUUUUAAUGGACACGAUUAUUAUUGAAAAAAACAGCUUUCAUUGGUAAAAUCUAGGUAUAAUAUUCAAGAGAAAAUAUGAUAGAUUAAAAUACAUAUUAGGCACACGUGUGCUUUUGGUGCAUAUAAUUUUUUGUUUUAAUAAUUCCUGGGACCAUAAAUACUAUUCAAGCAGCCAACAGUUGAAUGAUUUGGAUUAAGAAUUCACAAGUAAAUCAAUAAUUAAUAAUCUAUUUAAUUAAUUGGUCUACAUACAUGCAUAAAAAAUUGCAAAAUUAUAAGAAAAUGUUAAAUAGUGUUUUUUUUUUUUUUAUGUUAAAAAAAAGUAUAUUUAAAAGAAAACAUUAAAUAGUGUCUUCGAGACCAAUAAAUAUAUGAUAAAGUGGGCUAACAAAUAGUACUAAGAAUGAUCCAAUAAGAUACGUCCUAUAAGUCCUAGCUCAACUGACAAAAAUAUCAAAAUUGUUAGGCUGAAUAUCAUGACCCGGGUUCGAACUCGAGAUAUCACAAUUAUAUGUGAAUUUAAUUUCAGUAAAUAAUUAAUUAUCACUUCAUCUCAGACAAAAAAAAAAUCUAUAACAUACGAAUUAAUACAUAUAAUUUGUAUCAUCUUUCCACUUGAUAUCCUUCAAAAAAUUAAAAAGAAUAAAAAUAACAUGGACAAAAGUUGACAUGCUUGAUAGACUGAUAAUAAAGUGAUGUUAGCUUAUUUCUCUGGAGAUUUUGAAGUAAGUGUUUGACUCUUUGUUAUUUUUUUUGUACAAUGACUCUUUGUUCUUUAUUUCAGGCAACAUGUGAAAUUAGUACUACUUAUUAAAUAAAAUACCAACAACAGAAACUAGAAAGUACUACGAUUAAUUUUUUAUGAGGUUGAUUAUAUUAUAAAGUUGGCUAACCAACAAUUAUUAUAACCAAUAUUCUACAAAAAAAAAAAACCAGUAACAUACUUAUUUUUUUGAACAACCAGUAACAUACUUAUCAAUAAAUCUAUUUAAAAUAAUUAACCAAGUAUAUAGAGCUUGAAUUUCAGUGUCGAUUUUAAUAAAUGACUUUGUGAUUUGUGGAAACUUUUUGGGAUAUAUUUUUUGUUUGUGGUAUAAUAUGCAUUUUUUGUAUAUUACUGUCAGGUUUCCAGAAAAAGAAAAAAAAAAGACUCUGGUAAUCCUAUAGUUCGUCCGUAAAGUAAAAAAAAUUUGGUUAAAAAUUAUUCACCAUGAAUCGAACACGAUUCGUCCUAAAGUGAAUUCAUCAUUAUACCAUUUGAGCUCAAUGUCGUUUAAUAUGUCAUCUAAGUAACAAUAUUGAGAUAGAUAUAACCUCUGGUAUAUAUGUUGGAUCUUUGUUCCUCUUUCAAUAGAAAAAACUUUAAUCUAAAAUUUACAAGAAAAUGAAUGAAGAUCUAACAUUGUAGAAAUUGAUCUAUAUAUCAUAUUCCUCUUCCAUCAGAUUCAAGAUUAUAGUUUUAAUAAAUAUUUAAAACUUGUUGAUUUAAUCCAAACCUAACAAUUAUAAGUUAGAUUGACUGAGAUUAAAACCACAAAGUAAGGGGUAUAUAGAUAUUGAUCCAAGUUUUUAUACAUGCAAGAUCUAUUAAAAAUAUAACUUUCUAUCAUCUUUCCACUUGAGAUCUUUAGAAAAUUGAAAUGGAUCAAAAUAUAAAAUUUGACAUGCUUAAUUGCUAAGAAUGAUGUCACUGUUUCUAAGGCUACAUCAAAAAUAAAACUAAAAACAAAAUCCUGAUCCAGAUCCACAACCCUUCAUUUUUAUUUCAGGAAAGAUCUGAGUGUGUGAGUCCAAAUUUUUAGUAAUUGUGGUCCGAUCAAAAAAUAAUUUCAAGAAAAAAAAAAAGAAAGCAUUCAAAAUUAUAAGAAUUAAAGUUGAUGAGACUGAAAAUUAAGUUAUUAGAAUGAGUUACCUUUUCUCCUGCAAAAGAUUUCUGAGUAGAUGAGUCAGAGCACUUAGUCAUCUUUGUCUUCUACAAAGGCGCUCUAGUUGAUGGUUAAAGAGAAGGAUAACUGUUAACGUAUGCAAACACAAAGUUAAUAUACAAGGUGAGCUGCCCUAGAAAGUUCCAGAGCACUCUAGAAAAUCACUGUUAUAAUGCACUAUUUUUGAGCUAUAACUAAUCUAUCAUUUUAUUUCCUAAGUGUCUCAUUUUAUAGUUCAU
rnacentral:lncRNA from 1 species